rnacentral:snoRNA from 1 species
AUAUGAUGAUCCCAUUUAGAUGACGAGUCUUAUUUGCGCUUGCAAUGCAGACAACAUCUUUUAAUUACCAUUCAUGCAUUCCUGAGA